rnacentral:lncRNA from 1 species
GCGGGCGGAUGUAAAACUCUGUGCAUCCAGCUCGUUGCUGCAAAUUCUGUGGAUGGAAUUCGAAACCAUUUUUAACGCACGGGCAUAUAGUUGAACACGCUCCAGAGUUUCCAGUGCAGCCGGAGCAAGUAUCUUACUAUUACUAAUUGGAGGUUUCUUUUAAAACCUUCAUGUGAAGACACCUAGAAUCCUAGGUGGACCUCUAGAAAAAGAGAGGAACUUUAGACAUUCUCAUAAAAAUUAAAAACACCCUACCAUCAAUUUGGUGGAGUCUAAUCAUCCAUGAAAAUAAUAGCCCUUGAAUCUAUUAUGCUUUUUAACAAAUUACCGUAACCCUAAUUGUUGUGUUGGAAUUACUCACCUAUACCACCAAAGAGUUACCUCAAAUAUUUAAUCCAUAUCUCCACGUUACCUCAAAG